rnacentral:rRNA from 1 species
UGGGGAAUAUUGCACAAUGGGCGCAAGCCUGAUGCAGCCAUGCCGCGUGUAUGAAGAAGGCCUUCGGGUUGUAAAGUACUUUCAGCGGGGAGGAAGGUGUUGAGGUGAAUAACCUCAGCAAUUGACGUUACCCGCAGAAGAAGCACCGGCUAACUCCGUGCCAGCAGCCGCGGUAAUACGGAGGGUGCAAGCGUUAAUCGGAAUUACUGGGCGUAAAGCGCACGCAGGCGGUCUGUCAAGUCGGAUGUGAAAUCCCCGGGCUCAACCUGGGAACUGCAUUCGAAACUGGCAGGCUAGAGUCUUGUAGAGGGGGGUAGAAUUCCAGGUGUAGCGGUGAAAUGCGUAGAGAUCUGGAGGAAUACCGGUGGCGAAGGCGGCCCCCUGGACAAAGACUGACGCUCAGGUGCGAAAGCGUGGGGAGCAAACA